UACGUAGGGGGCAAGCGUUGUUCGGAAUUACUGGGCGUAAAGGGCGCGCAGGCGGCCCUUGAAGUCAGGCGUGAAAGCCCCGGGCUCAACCUGGGAGGUGCGCUUGAUACUCGAGGGCUUGAGUGCGGGAGAGGAGAGUGGAAUUCCCAGUGUAGAGGUGAAAUUCGUAGAUAUUGGGAAGAACACCGGUGGCGAAGGCGGCUACUCUGGACCGUAACUGACGCUGAGGCGCGAAAGCGUGGGGAGCAAACAGG
rnacentral:rRNA from 1 species